AGAGCGAACGCUGGCGACAUGCUUAACACAUGCAAGUCGAACGAGAUCCAUCCGGUAGCAAUACCGGUGAAGAUCAAGUGGCGAACGGGUGAGUAGCACGUGAGCAACCUGCCCCGAAGACCGGGACAACACCGGGAAACCGGUGCUAAUACCGGAUAUCCCCACCGAGUCGCAUGGCUUGGUGAGGAAAUGGAUUCCGCUUCGGGAGGGGCUCGCGGCCUAUCAGCUUGUUGGUGAGGUAACGGCUCACCAAGGCUUCGACGGGUAGCUGGUCUGAGAGGACGAUCAGCCACACUGGGACUGAGACACGGCCCAGACUCCUACGGGAGGCAGCAGUGGGGAAUCUUCGCACAAUGGGCGAAAGCCUGAUGCAGCAACGCCGCGUGAGGGACGAAGGCUUUCUGAGUUGUAAACCUCUUUCAGCAGGGACGAUUGUGACGGUACUGCAGAGAGCCCGGCAACUACGCGCCAGCAGCCG
rnacentral:rRNA from 1 species